GACGAACGCUGGCGGCGUGCUUAACACAUGCAAGUCGAACGGAAAGGCCCUGCUUGCAGGGUACUCGAGUGGCGAACGGGUGAGUAACACGUGGGUGAUCUGCCCUGCACUUCGGGAUAAGCCUGGGAAGCUGGGUCUAAUACCGGAUAGGAGCCAUUUUUAGUGUGAUGGUUGGAAAGUUUUUUCGGUGUAGGAUGAGCUCGCGGCCUAUCAGCUUGUUGGUGGGGUAAUGGCCUACCAAGGCGGCGACGGGUAGCCGGCCUGAGAGGGUGGACGGCCACAUUGGGACUGAGAGACGGCCCAGACUCCUACGGGAGGCAGCAGGGGGGAAGAUUGCACGAUGGGCGCAAGCCUGAUGCAGCGACGCCGCGGGGGGGAUGACGGUCUUCGGGUUGUAAACUCCUUUCGCUAGGGACGAAGCUUUUUGUGACGGUACCUAGAUAAGAAGCACCGGCUAACUACGUG
rnacentral:rRNA from 1 species